AUUGAACGCUGGCGGCAGGCCUAACACAUGCAAGUCGAACGAGUGGCGGACGGGUGAGUAAUGUCUCGGAACCUGCCCGAGGGAGGGGGAUAACUACCGGGAACGGUAGCCACUACCGCAUUCCAUCGCCUGGGCCCUGAUGGGAUUAGCUAGUAGGUGGGGUAAAGGCUAACCAAGGCGACGAUCCCUUGCUGGUAUGUGAGGAUGACCAGUCACACUGGAACUGAGAAACGGUCCAUACGCCGACGGGAGGCAGCAGUGGGGAAUAUUGGACAAUGGGCGAAAGCCUGAUCCAGCCAUGCCGCGUGUAUGAAGAAGGCCUGCGGGUUGGAAAGUACUUUCAGCGGGGAGGCGUUACCCGCAGAAGAAGCACCGGCUAACGCCGGGCCAGCAGCCGCGGUAAUAC
rnacentral:rRNA from 1 species